rnacentral:rRNA from 1 species
UACGUAGGGAGCAAGCGUUGUCCGGAAUCAUUGGGUGUAAAGCGCGCGUAGGCGGCCUCGUAAGUCCGUUGUGAAAGUCAAAGGCUCAACCUUUGAAAGCCGAUGGAUACUGUGAGGCUAGAGUCCGGAAGAGGCGAGUGGAAUUCCUGGUGUAGCGGUGGAAUGCGCAGAUAUCAGGAGGAACACCAAUAGCGAAGGCAGCUCGCUGGGACGGUACUGACGCUAAGGCGCGAAAGCGUGGGGAGCGAACAGG